AUUGAACGCUGACGGCAGGCUUAACACAUGCAAGUCGAGCGAGCGGCGGACGGGUGAGUAAUGUAUGGGAAACUGCCUGAUAGAGGGGGAUAACUACUGGAAACGGUAGCUAAUACCGCAUACCAUCAGAUGUGCCCAAAUGGGAUUAGCUAGUAGGUGGGGUAAUGGCUCACCUAGGCGACGUUCCCUAGCUGGGCUGAGAGGAUUACCAGCAACACUGGAACGGAGCCACGGGCCAGAGGCCUACGUGAGGCAGCAGUGGGGAAUAGUGCAAAAUGGGCGCAAGCCUGAUGCCGCCAUGCCGCGGGUGUGAAGAAGGCCUUAGGUUUGUAAAGCACUUUCAGCGAGGAGGCGUUACUCGCAGAAGAAGCACCGGCUAACUCCGUGCCAGCCGCCGCGGUAAUUC
rnacentral:rRNA from 1 species